rnacentral:rRNA from 1 species
GCCAGACUCCUACGGGAGGCAGCAGUGGGGAAUAUUGCACAAUGGGGGAAACCCUGAUGCAGCAACGCCGCGUGAAGGAAGACGGUUUUCGGAUUGUAAACUUCUGUUCUUAGUGAAGAAGAAUGACGGUAGCUAAGGAGCAAGCCACGGCUAACUACGUGCCAGCAGCCGCGGUAAUACGGAAGGUCCGGGCGUUAUCCGGAUUUAUUGGGUUUAAAGGGAGCGUAGGCCGCAUGUUAAGCGUGCCGUGAAAUGCCGUGGCUCAACCAUGGCACUGCGGCGCGAACUGGCUUGCUUGAGUGCGCGGAACGUAUGCGGAAUUCGUGGUGUAGCGGUGAAAUGCUUAGAUAUCACGAAGAACUCCGAUUGCGAAGGCAGCAUACGGCAGCGCUACUGACGCUGAAGCUCGAAGGCGCGGGUAUCGAACAGGAUUAGAUACCCUCGUAU